AUGCAGAAGAGGUGGAUGAGGUCACUGGAGCAGAGAAGGCCACGGAAGAGGCUGAGGCAGCAGCUGCUGUGGAACCUGCAGCACAGGAGGAGAGUGCUGGACCCACAGCACAGGAUGAGAGUUCUGGGGUGCCCCCAGAAGCUGGAGGGGAGAAUGACUUGCUGGCUCCAGAGGAAUCCCAUGUUGUGGAGGAGGCCCAGCAGGAAGCUGCUGCUAAUUCAGAAGCUGAUGCUAAUUUGGAACUUGCUGAUAAUUCAGAAGCUGCUGCAGUUCAAGCUUCUGAGGAGGAGAAGACAACUGAAGAGGUUGCUAAAGAGCCCUAAAGUAAGCAGUGUGGACACCUUUGGAAAGUAUAAAGCAAAUAUUUGUGGCAAUCAACCAGCUGAUUCCUGUGUGAGACCUCAUCAUACUCUUCCUUGGAGACAUCAAAGAAACUGUGCAGUUUGUCCUACCACACACUGGCCAUUCUGGCCAGUACUAUCCAGUGCUGCAAGAGAUGAAUUGUGCUGCCUAGAGAAACGCUUCUGUGACUAACAACUCUGCUGUAGAGAGUAGCAUCCAGCCAAGCCACUCAGCAUGCCCUAAAUACCUGUGCUAAGAGAAGCAGUAUGAUGCCAGAUGAACUCCUUCUAUGUCAUUGCUGUCCUGAUGUGUACAUUGGUUUCUUCCUUUUGGCCCAAACUGUUGUGCGUAGUUAUACAUUUGUAACAUCCCAUGCUAAAAUGUAAGCAAAAGGUUAAGCCAAAAUAUUAUAAAAGUACCUGUUAGCAUUUUUAAAUUAGAUCACAGGGAAAAUAACAACGUGUUUGCUCCUGAGUUUGGAUUUGUGAUUGUGAGCAUAGGACAUCUGGCUGCACAUGACCUCAUUUUCCCCCUGCAUAAACAUUUCAGAUGCUACCACUCCUUGCACAGUAACAUCCAGGAGUAAACCCAUUGCAGCCAUCACAGAAUGGCAAUGGCUCUAAACCAGAGCCAAAUAAGGUACAUUAUGUACUAUUUGUAUAGGAAGUGUGUUUCACAAGGUGUGUCUGACUCUUCUCUUCAAGCAGAAGUUUGGAAAAUGUUGAAAGAGAAACAACAGCAUCCUCCUACACAUGGCACAAAGCAACCCAUGCUCCUUCCCCCAUCCUAAAGCAAAUUACAAUAGUGUUCCAACAGAGAUAUAGCCUAUUGCUCCUGGAUGUCUUAGGAAUAACUGGAAUAAUGCAGAGGCAAAAGCAGGCUCCCAAGCUUCAAGAAGACAAACCACAGCCUUCUGCUUGAAGGAUAAGGCCUCUGUGAUUAAAAGCAAUUUGUGUAGACCAAGCUACUGGAAUAAAAAUCUUAGAUUGAUAUUUUGUUGGACA
rnacentral:lncRNA from 1 species